AAUCUGCCUGGUAGUGGGGGAUAAUGUCCGGAAACGGACGCUAAUACCGCAUACGUCCUACGGGAGAAAGCAGGGGACCUUCGGGCCUUGCGCUAUCAGAUGAGCCUAGGUCGGAUUAGCUAGUUGGUGGGGUAAUGGCUCACCAAGGCGACGAUCCGUAACUGGUCUGAGAGGAUGAUCAGUCACACUGGAACUGAGACACGGUCCAGACUCCUACGGGAGGCAGCAGUGGGGAAUAUUGGACAAUGGGCGAAAGCCUGAUCCAGCCAUGCCGCGUGUGUGAAGAAGGUCUUCGGAUUGUAAAGCACUUUAAGUUGGGAGGAAGGGCAGUAAAUUAAUACUUUGCUGUUUUGACGUUACCGACAGAAUAAGCACCGGCUAACUCUGUGCCAGCAGCCGCGGUAAUACAGAGGGUGCAAGCGUUAAUCGGAAUUACUGGGCGUAAAGCGCGCGUAGGUGGUUCGUUAAGUUGGAUGUGAAAUCCCCGGGCUCAACCUG
rnacentral:rRNA from 1 species